rnacentral:ncRNA from 1 species
AACUUAUCAGCUUGCUUAUUCUCAGAUAUAUCUGUCAAAAUGCAUCGCAAUGUCCUAAGGCUAGCACAGACAGGAUGAGAAUCUCUCGUAGAGUAAAAGGGUAGAAGCUCGUUUGAUCAUGAUUUCCAGCGCGUAUUUUACAAACCGCGAAAGCGUAGCCUAUCGAUCCUUUUGAAUUAUUAGAAGGUUUUUAGCAAGAAGUGUCAGAAAAGUUACCACAAGAAUAAUUGACUUGUGAUAGUCAAGUAUUCAUAGUUACGCUGCUUUUUGAACUUUCGAUGUCAUUGCUAUCGAAAUU